CAGUAGCCGCGGUAAUACAGAGGGUGCGAGCGUUAAUCGGAUUUACUGGGCGUAAAGCGUGCGUAGGCGGCUUUUUAAGUCGGAUGUGAAAUCCCUGAGCUUAACUUAGGAAUUGCAUUCGAUACUGGGAAGCUAGAGUAUGGGAGAGGAUGGUAGAAUUCCAGGUGUAGCGGUGAAAUGCGUAGAGAUCUGGAGGAAUACCGAUGGCGAAGGCAGCCAUCUGGCCUAAUACUGACGCUGAGGUACGAAAGCAUGGGGAGCAAACAGGAUUAGAUACCCGCGUAGUCCCUGUUUCUUAUAC
rnacentral:rRNA from 1 species